rnacentral:rRNA from 1 species
CCUACGGGAGGCUGCAGUGGGGAAUAUUGCACAAUGGGCGGAAGCCUGAUGCAGCGACGCCGCGUGAGGGAUGACGGCCUUCGGGUUGUAAACCUCUUUCGACUCCGACGAAGCGCAAGUGACGGUAGGGGUAGAAGAAGCACCGGCCAACUACGUGCCAGCAGCCGCGGUAAUACGUAGGGUGCGAGCGUUGUCCGGAAUUACUGGGCGUAAAGAGCUUGUAGGCGGUUUGUCGCGUCGUCCGUGAAAACUUGGGGCUCAACCCCAAGCUUGCG